GGACUUGUGGUGUAGUGGUUAUCACGUAUCGUUCACAGUAAUGUGAACAAAUUCCCGAUAAGGUCCCCGGUUCGAGCCCGGGCAAGUUCA